ACAGAGGGAGAUAAGUAUGGACAGUCAGGCUACAACAUGUAAACAGUCAGUCAUCCACUUAGUUAUUUAUGGCCUUUUUCCACUGGCUCAGUGUAGCAUGCUUUGGCCUUAUAGUGUCAUUCCAAGCAUGCACAUAGGAGUGUAUUUUCAGUAGGCGCCCCUGGUGUUGGGACUAAUAAUACAGCAGGAUAAACAAUAUGGUUCGCAUGACCUGCAACAAGCUCAGCUUCUGACAAAAAAAGUCAUCAAUACAUAACAGACUGCCAUAACAGAUUACCACUAACUGUGUGGUGUUUUUUUUAUUCAGCAUGUUGUAGUGAUGCGUCUUGUCUGUCCUCCAAAUCAGCACUUAUUAGUACUCUCUCUUUCUAUCUCCUUACCUCCAUACACUAACAGAGGGUUAGUUGCUGAUAUGGUUUCAAGUAAAUAUGCACCUGGGAUAACAAAUGUAGCCUGAUCACCACUGGACACUUUGUCACUUAUUUAGACUAUUUAAAGUGAGGAAGUGUGUUAUUUUAUGUGCAUUUCUGUAACAUUAAUUUGAGAGGUGAGCUGACCAUCGCAAAGCGAUCAUGAUCAGGUUAGAUGUCAUAAAUUGUCCAUUUAUUCUUAAAAUUUGCCAUAUUUGUCAUACUUUGAACCACAACAGAAUAAUGUAUCCACUAGCACUUGAACAGAACCUGUUAAAAUUAUUGGUUUCAUGGAUUAAUUGUAAAUGAUAUUUGCACUGUGUUUCAUCCUGGCCAUCAGGGGUGCUGCAGUGCUAACAGCACCACCCCUUACCAUUGUAAUAGUUUCAAGCCAAGUACUCUGACAAAAACCACAAAUUAGUCUUGUAUUUAGACUGUGUGGAGAAAUUCAAAAUCUCCUGGAAGAAAACAUGAAUGUUUUUAGGCCAAUUUAGACCAAGGUAGUGGUGCACUUCAGCCCCUUGAGGCCAAAAUGGGUAUUCCAACUUAUAACAACAAAGGCUUUGCUACCAAGAGGUCAGUUGUCAGGAAAAUGAAAAUAUCGUUUGUUCUAAGUAUUUGAACCAACAGUCAAAGCUGUUGUUUAUCUGCUGAGAACAUCGUUUGACAUGUGAUCAUAUACGUUUCAGCUUUGACCUAAAACCACCAUGACCCCUGUGACAUGAUGGUCCAUCAAACCAGCUGGUCAGACUGAUGAGUCAUGCAGCCUCGUUGCUCCUCUCUUAAGGUAUUUCUGGUUACAGUAGAUGGAGAGGUACAGGUGAUGCCUAUUGCUGUUUGUGCAAACCAGAAAAUGUCUCACAAGUUCUCAAGCCAGGUCCAGGAUGCAGCCUGACUGUCUGAGCCUGAGUGUGCGUUGACAGCUGGUAGGUACCC